CAUCAAGGAAACAGGAUCAAAAGAUCAUUUAUUAUAGGCCGUUUCAUAGUUGGUUAUAUUUUUUAGGUUCUCCUGAUCAUUCUGUUCUCCUGGUUGUGAGGAUGUGCAGAGGCUGUAUUUGUCAGUGUUAAAAGACUUGUGCAGGUGUAUCCAGACAUACAAGCAGCCGACAAAGAGUUCUGGAGCAGGACAGACAGAUUGGUGUACGCUGAUGGUCUGCUGAGAAUUCUGCUGAGUUGAAGGGAUCCUCCUGUCAGACAACCUCUCCAAAGUACAACAGGACUAGGUUCCCACUACAAGGAUUAGAUUUGGCUACUGCAGUCCCGGUUUGGGCCAGCCUCACUUGUGAAGACUAAAGAUGAAGACAACAUACAAGAACAAUUUAGAGAAUGGCGACACAUUUUUUAUUCCACCUAUUUAUCCCCUUUUAUGUGUAAGCAACAUUCCACAAGAUAACUAAAUGGCAGCUUAUUUCUUUUCA